UCAGAGUGUCUGACCCCCCUUGUAAAAUAGUGGGGUUAACCUCCCGUCCUUUGCUAACUCUCCCCUUUUUUUUUUGGGAGGGGGCAUUUAAAUUUCUGCUUCGGUGGGGUUUUACCCACCGGAACACCCUCAAAAAUUCUUUUUUAAAAAUUAUUCAGUCCGAGAAUUUUUUGAAUUAAACAAA
rnacentral:misc_RNA from 1 species